UACGAAGGGGGCUAGCGUUGUUCGGAAUUACUGGGCGUAAAGCGCGCGCAGGCGGCAAGGUAAGUAAGGUGUGAAAUAUCCCGGCUCAACCGGGAGGGUGCACUUUAGACUGCUUUGCUUGAGGUCGGUAGAGGGGGGUGGAAUUGCUGGUGUAGCGGUGAAAUGCGUAGAGAUCAGCAGGAACACCCGUGGAGCGAACGGCGGCCCCUCGGGCCGGUACCUG
rnacentral:rRNA from 1 species